rnacentral:rRNA from 1 species
UACAGAGGGGGCAAGCGUUGUUCGGAAUUACUGGGCGUAAAGGGCGCGUAGGCGGCCUGUUAAGUCGAACGUGAAAUCCCCGGGCUCAACCCGGGAACUGCGUCCGAUACUGGCAGGCUUGAAUCCGGGAGAGGGAUGCGGAAUUCCAGGUGUAGCGGUGAAAUGCGUAGAUAUCCGGAGGAACACCAGCAGCGAAGGCGGCGUCCUGGACUGGUACUGACGCUCAGGAGCGAAAGCGUGGGGAGCGAUCCGGG